GCUGGGCGUGGUGGCACGCGCCUGUAAUCCCAGCUACUUGGGAGGCUGAGGCAGGAGAAUCACUUGAACCCGGGAGGCAGAGGUUGCAGUGAGCCAAGAUCGUGCCACUGCUCUCCAGCCUGGGUGACAGAGUGAGACUCUGUCUCAA
rnacentral:SRP_RNA from 1 species